UAAUAUAAAUUCAUAUAGUAUAAUAAAGUUUUUCAGAUUCUAGUGUCGGUUAUUUUUUCGGGACGAUAGCGUUAUUAUUAUUUUCAAUAUUUUAAAAAAAAAAAAAAACCCCGAAAGAAAAUUUAAUUUAAACAAAACUACUUAUUUUUUGAGUUACUACAGUAACAUAAUAUUAUAGUUACGAAUAGAACGUGGCUUACGGAUAUAAUGCAUACGCCUCCGCCAC